CUACGUGUGCCCUAGUGCACUGAACUGAGUAAAGGAUAAGAGUGCAGGAAGAGUGCACACAACCAGAGCAGUGGGACACAGUGAGGUUUUGUGACCUCCAGUGAAACAGCUCCCAGACCCUCUCCAUCAUUUUUUGAGAUUUUUCACUGGUAUUGUGAUGCCUGCACCAGAGCAGGGGAAAGGGGUUUUUUGAGCACAAAAGAAGCACAGUUGUAAGUAUGUAUAGCUAUAGGAGAUUUUUUCCCCUUUACUCUUCACACACACCACUUAUCCAUACAGGCACCUGUAACUAUUAGAAGAUACAUAACAGCGCUUCAUCUCUUUGUGCCAGGUGAAGAUACCAAUCAUUCCCAACAUACAACUUCAAAAACUAAGAGUUCUAAUUCCUUCACCAGAUAGCACAAGCUUUAGAUGUGUCAGCAGCACUCAGCAAACUGACCACGAUAUUAACAGUAUAAAGAAGACCAGAUGAAAAAUGAAAUGGAACUGAUGAUUCAUAGGUGGCUGUUCCAUGCUCUACAGACUGAAGAAGAUGAAAAUAAAGUAUCUCCAGCUUCAUAAUUUAUGCCAUUUCUAUUUUUAAUAUACAAAAAAUAUUAUUUUGUAGUAAACAAUCUUUCUGUUUCUCUGAAUAAAGCAUAAAGACUGUUUAUA